rnacentral:rRNA from 1 species
CGUAAACAACCUGCCUUCAGGAUGGGGACAACAGACGGAAACGACUGCUAAUACCGAAUAAGUUCCAAGAGCCGCAUGGCCCAUGGAAGAAAAGGUGGCCUCUACCUGUAAGCUAUCGCCUGAAGAGGGGUUUGCGUCUGAUUAGCUGGUUGGAGGGGUAACGGCCCACCAAGGCGACGAUCAGUAGCCGGUCUGAGAGGAUGAACGGCCACACUGGAACUGAGACACGGUCCAGACUCCUACGGAGCAGCAUG